UACGUAGGAGGCGAGCGUUGUCCGGAAUCACUGGGUGUAAAGCGCGUGUAGGCGGCCUGCCAAGUCUGCUGUGAAAGCGCCUGGCUUAACCGGGCGAGGUCGGUGGAAACUGGCGGGCUGGAGGUUGGUAGAGGGGGGUGGAAUUCCCGGUGUAGUGGUGAAAUGCGUAGAGAUCGGGAGGAACACCAGUGGCGAAGGCGGCCCCCUGGGCCGUACCUGACGCUGAGACGCGAAAGCGCGGGGAGCGAACGGG
rnacentral:rRNA from 1 species